rnacentral:rRNA from 1 species
UCGAGCCCGGAGAUAGCUGGUUCUCCCCGAAAUAGCUUUAGGGCUAGCCUCAAGGUGAGAGAUACGGAGGUAGAGCACUGAAUGUCCUAGGGGGUAUUGCACCUACCGAAGACUAUCAAACUCCGAAUGCCGUCAUCUUAUACUUGGGAGUCAGACUGUGGGUGAUAAGAUUCAUAGUCGAAAGGGCAACAGCCCAGAUCGUCAG